CCUAAGGGAGGCUGCAGUGAGGAAUAUUGGUCAAUGGACGGAAGUCUGAACCAGCCAUGCCGCGUGCAGGAAGACGGCUCUAUGAGUUGUAAACUGCUUUUGUACAAGGGUAAACCUGAAUACGUGUAUUCAGCUGAAAGUACUGUACGAAUAAGGAUCGGCUAACUCCGUGCCAGCAGCCGCGGUAAUACGGAGGAUCCAAGCGUUAUCCGGAUUUAUUGGGUUUAAAGGGUGCGUAGGCGGAUUGAUAAGUUAGAGGUUAAAUGUCCGAGCUUAACUCGGGAACUGCCUCCAAUACUGUUGAUCUAGCGAGUAGGUGCGGUAGGCGGAAUGUAUGGUGUAGCGGUGAAAUGCUUAGAGAUCAUACAGAACCCCGGUUGCGAAGGCAGCUUACCAAUCUAUAUCUGACGUUGAGGCACGAAAGCGUGGGGAGCAAACAGGAUUAGAUACCCUAGUAGUC
rnacentral:rRNA from 1 species